rnacentral:rRNA from 1 species
GUGGGGAAUAUUGGACAAUGGGCGAAAGCCUGAUCCAGCCAUGCCACGUGUGUGAAGAAGGUCUUCGGAUUGUAAAGCACUUUAAGUUGGGAGGAAGGGCAGUAAGUUAAUACCUUGCUGUUUUGACGUUACCAACAGAAUAAGCACCGGCUAACUUCGUGCCAGCAGCCGCGGUAAUACGAAGGGUGCAAGCGUUAAUCGGACUUACUGGGCGUAAAGCGCGCGUAGGUGGUUCAGCAAGUUGGAGGUGAAAUCCCCGGGCUCAACCUGGGAACUGCCUCCAAAACUGCAUGAGUAGAGUACGGUAGAGGGUAGUGGAAUUUCCUGUGUAGCGGUGAAAUGCGUAGAUAUAGGAAGGAACGCCAGUGGCGAAGGCGACUACCUGGACUGAUACUGACACUGAGGUGCGAAAGCGUGGGGAGCAAACAGGAUUAGAUACCCGAGUAGUCC